AGUGAACGCUGGCGGUAGGCCUAACACAUGCAAGUCGAACAGCAGCACAGUAAGAGCUUGCUCUUACGGGUGGCGAGUGGCGGACGGGUGAGGAAUACAUCGGAAUCUACUUUUUCGUGGGGGAUAACGUAGGGAAACUUACGCUAAUACCGCAUACGACCUACGGGUGAAAGCAGGGGAUCUUCGGACCUUGCGCGAUUGAAUGAGCCGAUGUCGGAUUAGCUAGUUGGCGGGGUAAAGGCCCACCAAGGCGACGAUCCGUAGCUGGUCUGAGAGGAUGAUCAGCCACACUGGAACUGAGACACGGUCCAGACUCCUACGGGAGGCAGCAGUGGGGAAUAUUGGACAAAGGGCGCAAGCCUGAUCCAGCCAUACCGCGUGGGUGAAGAAGGCCUUCGGGUUGUAAAGCCCUUUUGUUGGGAAAGAAAAGCAGCAGGUUAACACCCCGCUGUUCUGACGGUACCCAAAGAAUAAGCACCGGCUAACUUCGUG
rnacentral:rRNA from 1 species